ensembl:lncRNA
GCCUAUUCCCAUCAGAGAGGUCUCUCUGCGUCCUCCCCCAACAGGACGGGUAGCCUAUUCCCAUCAGAGAGGUCUCUCUGCGUCCUCCCCCAACAGGACGGGUAGCCUAUUCCCAUCAGAGAGGUCUCUCUGCGUCCUCCCCCAACAGGACGGGUAGCCUAUUCCCAUCAGAGAGGUCUCUCUGCGUCCUCCCCCAACAGGACGGGCAGCCUAUUCCCAUCAGAGAGGUCUUUGAAACCUUGAAUAAGGGUUUCAAAUUUGGGAAAAUGACACUCUCUAAUUGUUUUAUAUUUUUGACAGUUUGUCAGGAAAUGCAGCUCCGUCUCAGGUUCUGCUGUUGUGCAGUGGUUGCACAGCCUUUCCUCUACAGGGAACCAGGUUUUCCUGUGUCUACCCUUCUCAAUGGCAAGGCUGUGCUCACUGAGCCUUUUCUAAGGUUUUGAUCAGUAACCAUGGUCAAAUAUUU